GUGCAUUUGACCUUUAUAUUAUUAUUGUCCCCUUGAGCCCUUCACCGAGCUAUUUUUAAAACUGUUGUUUAUGUGAACUUGCAAUCAAUUAAAAUCUUAGGGCCUGAACUUCAGGUCAAAAUCUACAGGCACGAUGAUUUAUAUUUGAACUUUUGAAGUAUUCAAGCGCCAACAGCGGUAUAUAUUUAUUAUAUAGUUUUCUUUGUUUUUCUUCAUUUUAAAUACUACAACUGUAUUUCUGGACCGCUCGGCCCCUCCGGGUAAUGAAAAUUUAUAGAACCCGCCCGCCUCACAAAAUGAACCAAUUUCAUUGCUCGACAUAUACAAGUGAUCUAUGGUCACAACCGCUAAUUACAGACGUCUGGUAUUUCUAUAAUUAUAUUGGAACGAAACAUUUCUUUUUUAAAGAAAUAUUUUCUUGUUGAUAAAACAACUGUGUUUAAUUGAUAAUACAAGAAUCUACAACAUCAUUUGGGCUGCCUAUGAUGAUAUUAGAACAAUUUCAAUAUGAAAGUGCAGGUGUCUUUAGACAUGAGCCAUAAUGUAUAUAUCAAAAUACUGAUAAAAUCCGUUUCCAGCUUGAUUGUAUUUGCAUUUGUUGUAUUUGCAUUGUUGCAGACAAAGUUGUGCAAUAUAUGGUGGGCUUAUGUCACAUACUCGUAUGUAAUUCCUUGUGCCUGCAUGUACAGUACUUUGAUGCCUCAAGAGAUGCUUCGAAUGUGUAAUAAUAAAGGGCUGUUCGCAGGAGUUCAAUGGGCUGUAUGGCCUUAAAUUGCAUUGUUUUUAUGAUAUUUUAAGAUUGUAUUCAUAUGGCUGGACCACCAUGCCAUUGCCACAAUGCCUGAUGUUCAAACAGGCUUUAAAAUCAGGUUACAAUGCAUGCUUGAAAAUAUGCAACAAUUUCACUGCUAAUAAUAUUCCAGAAAAUCCUGCCUCUUGGGCAGAUCUGGACUGAUUUGUCAGAGGGGGUUGGAGGUUUUCUACUUGUGAUCGGGCAAGGGGAGCAAAGCCAAGGGUGCUGGGUCAGAGUCAAACUCAUGUGAACAGCUUCUAAGUCCUACUAUUAUAUUGAUAAAUUAUGUACACUUUGGGAUGCUAAUAACGCUAAUGCAAUUUGUAAAAUAUUCCACAUUUUAUUUAAUAAAAUUUAAUUAUAUACAUUGUUUUUGUUGUUUAUAUUAACACCUUGGACAGUGUAUAUUUACGCCUUUGGACCCUGUAAAUAAACACCUUUGGAGGGUGUACCCAUUCUAAGCCAAAGACAUUUAAGAACAAUUAUCAAUGAAGGUACAGUAUUUGCAUGAUAAAAUAUAUUUAAAACUGCUCUCCAUAUACAUGUAAUGCAUGGUUCAAUUCUUGCUUUUAUCAAGUAAACCCAGGGAUUUUCAAUGUCCCCCUCCUCCCAUAGAAUUCACUUGAAGUGACUGGGGCAAGGCUAUAAGUAUAAAUUAAGUAGUUAUAUUAAUUCAAUUAACAUUUACAAAUUGAGCUUUUUGAAUAUAAACCAUUGCAAAAUUUUUAAAAAUUUGUUUAACCCUUUUUAAAAAUUUGUUUAACCCUACUUUAAUAUAUUACUCCGUCUGGUGCCAGACAAUUUUACUCAAGGGCAGAAUGUAGACUUGCCACAAGUCAACCUUGAAUGAAACGUUGGCUCACACUCGCUGCUUGCAUUUCGUUUGAGGUCGACUUGUGGCAAGUCUAGGCAGAAUGCUGCCACUCAAUGAGUUAAUAUAUUCUCAAAACAAUUACCAUCAAAUUUAAUCUAUUUUGCUGGCAAAAUUGCCUUGGAGGGGGUCCUUGAUUUGUUGAGUUUUUUUUUUUUUGGGGGGGGGAGUGUUGUAAAAAACAGAAUAGCAACUGGUUUCAGAAUAGGAAGAAUUGUUGUAAUAUAGGUAAUAUAAUUCUAAGACAAAUCAUCCAAAGGAAGCAAUCAUUCUAGCUCUUGUAGUGUAUGUUGCAACAGGGAUGGAUUUACCAGGGAGGGGGGGGGGCUGUGCACUCCCCUAGCCCUGGCCAGAGGGGGUGCAGGGGGGGUUCUAUUUUUCAUGAUAAAGCAAAAAAUGAUUACAGGCAAAAUGAGAUACAGUAAUUUGAGUAAUAACAUGAUGAUAAGCAAGCUGUGAACAGCAAUUACAAUUCAAAUACAGUAGUAAAGCAAGACUUUGCAGUAGUGAAGCAAGUUGAUGGGCGGGCGGCACACAUGACCAACACAACUCGGCACCAGAGCUGGCAGAGCACGCCCCACCCCACCCCACCCCCUACCAGAUCAUGCUGGAUCCAUCCAUGUGUUGCAAAAUGUAUUUUCUUCAUAGUCAGGCAUUCACAUGAAUGAAGAUUAGAAUUUCAUCAUGUUAUAUAGUCUUAAAUAUUUUAGGAGGGGUCUCCAUUAUUAAAUUAAGAGAUUAAAAAGGGGUCCCAUGACAUUUUGACAUAAGAAUCUCCCACCCCACCCUAGGGUAUAAUGAAUGGUCACUUAAAGUACAUGCCAUCUUAGAACUGGUUGGGCACCUUGCCCCUUUUGUGAUGGAAAAUCUAUCCCUACCUUUAUCCCUGGGACAAAAAAUUCAAAUCAACUCUCCACCCUGAUAUUAAAUGUGCAGAAGGUAACAGCAAGAAUUGAAGCAAGCAAGCUUUACUGGAGUACAUACUAUUAUUAGGAAGCAUCAAUUCGCACAUGCUAAUUUGCCAGUCAUGAUUUUAAACAGAAUAUUUCUUAUCUCGUAUAGAAUUCUUAAGGUCUUGUUUACAUUUUACUGGAAGCAAACUAAGAUGCAUAUCCAAUAUUUGGGUCAUAUCACUCAUAUGUCAGUUUUGCAGCUUGCCAGCUUCAACAACAUUUGGCUGCAAGGAAAACGUAAACAAAGAAAGAGCAUAUAACACUUCAUCUGUGUUUAAAAUAUCAAUGAAUAAAUAUUCCAA